UACGGAGGAUGCAAGCGUUAUCCGGAAUGAUUGGGCGUAAAGCGUCCGCAGGCGGCUUUGUAAGUCUGCUGUUAAAGAGUGAGGCUCAACCUCAUAAGAGCAGUGGAAACUACAAGGCUAGAGUACGUUCGGGGCAGAGGGAAUUCCUGGUGUAGCGGUGAAAUGCGUAGAGAUCAGGAAGAACACCGGUGGCGAAAGCGCUCUGCUAGGCCGUAACUGACGCUGAGGGACGAAAGCUAGGGGAGCGAAUGGG
rnacentral:rRNA from 1 species